UUGACUUCCGCCUCCCCUUAAAAUCACGCGGCGUGACGGAUGUGCAGUGUCAGCUUAAUUUCUUGUGCGUUAAUAAGAUUUCAUUGUGUUUUUCGACAAGUGUUUGCGAUAUAUGCGGUCAUAUGAUUGAUUUCUAUGUGUGUUAUAUAAGUGUAAAAGAUUAAUAUUAUUAAUAAGUGUUGUCAGCCGGCUUUCCCAAUUCACAGACAUAGUUACGCUCACUAAACGUGCAUCAUGACAUGACAAAGAAUGAGAGUACGAUUUAUCCAGUGAAAUUCGAACAAUAGGGAAUAACUAUUGUUAAUGGGUAGGUGAUUUGUUUGUGAGACCGAGCUAAAGAUAUGUCAGGCACGAUCGAAGUUAAAAGCAAACUUUCCUAACCCGCUCUGAAUUCGGAUUGUGUUUGUGUUUUUAUUAAAAACAGUUGACCGCCAUGUUAAUACACGUUUCAGUUAUGACAGUGUGUUGCGACGUAAAGAAGGACUCCGAACAUUUUCGCCAGUGAAAGGAGAAGGCUUACUACUUGAAUAAACGGUUAAAGCGGCCGGAAUGUCAUACUAAACACUUGCAUGCGUGUAACUCCGGGGUCACAAAGGCGUAGAG